rnacentral:rRNA from 1 species
CCUACGGGCGGCAGCAGUGAGGAAUAUUGGUCAAUGGACGCAAGUCUGAACCAGCCAUGCCGCGUGCAGGAAGACGGCUCUAUGAGUUGUAAACUGCUUUUGUACGAGGGUAAAUCCCGAUACGUGUAUCGGGUUGAAAGUAUCGUACGAAUAAGGAUCGGCUAACUCCGUGCCAGCAGCCGCGGUAAUACGGAGGAUUCAAGCGUUAGCCGGAUUUAUUGGGUUUAAAGGGUGCGUAGGCGGUUCGAUAAGUUAGAGGUGAAAUUCCGGGGCUCAACUCCGGCACUGCCUCUGAUACUGUCAGGCUAGAGUUUAGUUGCGGUAGGCGGAAUGUAUGGUGUAGCGGUGAAAUGCAUAGAGAUCAUACAGAACACCGAUUGCGAAGGCAGCUUACCAAACUACGACUGACGUUGAGGCACGAAAGCGUGGGGAGCAAACAGGAUUAGAUACCCCAGUAGUC